rnacentral:rRNA from 1 species
UUUUUGUAUUACGACUAAAGGACCCGAAUUUAGGUGAUCUAUUUAAAUUUGCUUAAAAUUUCCCAUAGAAAAGAGAAAAAAAAAAAGAAAGCUCUAAAAAAGAAAACCGAACCUAAAAAUCUGAUAUCGAUCACUUUUAAAAAAUUAACAAAAGAAAAAAAUAUCGAAGAGGAUAAUAGAAAUAAGAAAAAUUUUUCAAAAAAUUGGAAAUGUAGAAAAGAAAAUUACAUUUUAGAUCGAUUAAAAUAAAAAUCUUUAGAGUCAAAAAAAAUUUAAAAGAAUUUAAAAUAAACUCUUUCCCCGACUGUUUAACAAAAACAUUUCUUCGAAAAGGAUUUUGAAGUAGGCCCUGCUCACAUAAAAAAUUAAAAAAGCCAACUCUUUGCGAAGGUAGCAUAAUUACUAGCCGCCUAAUUAGCGGAUUGUCUGAAUGGGUUAACGAGGGAAAAGUUUUCUUUAAAUUCAAAAAUAUAAGUUGGGGGUUAGAUCUCCCCCAAGCAAUAAAAAGACGAUAAGACCCUUUAAUCUUGAUUUUAAUAAUAAAAUUAUUGUUGGGGCAACAAAGAGAAUGAUUCUCUUAUUAGAGAUCUAGAUUUUUUUUCAAUUCUAAAUAUGAUACUAUAGGGAUAACAGCAUAAUAUUUUCUUAAAAGACCUUAUUUUAAGAAAAGAGUAUGACCUCGAUGUUGAACCAGAGAAAAU